AUUCUGCCCGUGCGGGGAAGGAUGAGAAGCUUUGACCAAGGUUCGACUCGAGCGCCAGCGAGAGAGCGUUGCCGCAGGCAACGACCCGAAGGGCGAAGCGCGCAGCGCUGAGUAAUCCUUCCCCCACCACCA
rnacentral:sRNA from 1 species